CCUACGGGGGGCUGCAGCAAGGAAUCUUCCGCAAUGGGCGAAAGCCUGACGGAGCAACGCCGCGUGUGGGAUGACGCCUUUCGGGGUGUAAACCACUUUUCUCAGGGAAGAAGCACUGACGGUACCUGAGGAAGAAGGACCGGCUAACUACGUGCCAGCAGCCGCGGUAAUACGUAGGGUCCGAGCGUUGUCCGGAGUUACUGGGCGUAAAGCGCGCGCAGGCGGCGGUGUAAGCAUGGCGUGAAAGCCCCAGGCUCAACCUGGGAGGGUCGUCG
rnacentral:rRNA from 1 species